GACGAACGCUGGCGGCGUGCUUAACACAUGCAAGUCGAACGGAAAGGCCCUGCUUUUGUGGGGUGCUCGAGUGGCGAACGGGUGAGUAACACGUGAGUAACCUGCCCUUGACUUUGGGAUAACUUCAGGAAACUGGGGCUAAUACCGGAUAGGAGCUCCUGCUGCAUGGUGGGGGUUGGAAAGUUUCGGCGGUUGGGGAUGGACUCGCGGCUUAUCAGCUUGUUGGUGGGGUAGUGGCUUACCAAGGCUUUGACGGGUAGCCGGCCUGAGAGGGUUACCGGCCACAUUGGGACUGAGAUACGGCCCAGACUCCUACGGGAGGCAGUAGUGGGGAAUAUUGCACAAUGGGCGGAAGCCUGAUGCAACAACGCCGCGUGCGGGAUGACGGCCUUCGGGUUGUAAACCGCUUUCGCCUGUGACGAAGCGUGAGUGACGGUAAUGGGUAAAGAAGCACCGGCUAACUACGUG
rnacentral:rRNA from 1 species